UACGGGAGGGUGCAAGCGUUAUCCGGAUUCACUGGGUUUAAAGGGUGCGUAGGUGGGUUUGUAAGUCAGUGGUGAAAUCUCCAAGCUUAACUUGGAACUGCCGUUGAUACUAUAAAUCUUGAAUGUUGUGGAGGUGAGCGGAAUAUGUCAUGUAGCGGUGAAAUGCUUAGAUAUGACAUAGAACACCAAUUGACGAAGGCAGCUCACUACACAAGAUUGACACUGAGGCACGAAAAGCGUGGGGAUCAAACAGG
rnacentral:rRNA from 1 species